UGCGUGUGUAGUAUAGUCAGGUUAUUAUUCUCGGUUGCCAUCCGAGGGACGUGGAUUCGAAUUCCGCCACCCGCACCAA
rnacentral:tRNA from 1 species